rnacentral:rRNA from 1 species
AGAGUUUGAUCCUGGCUCAGAUUGAACGCUGGCGGCGUGCUUAACACAUGCAAGUCGUGCGAGAAAGGGGACUUCGGUCCCUGAGUAGAGCGGCGCACGGGUGAGUAACGCGUGGAUUAUCUACCCAGAUAUUCGGGAUAACGGCGGGAAACUGCCGCUAAUACCGGAUACGCUCCAAUUUCGGUUGGGGGAAAGGCGGCCUCUGCUUGCAAGCUGUCGUAUCUGGAUGAGUCCGCGUCCCAUUAGCUUGUUGGCGGGGUAAUGGCCCACCAAGGCUACGAUGGGUAGCUGGUCUGAGAGGAUGAUCAGCCACACUGGAACUGAAACACGGUCCAGACUCCUACGGGAGGCAGCAGUGGGGAAUAUUGCGCAAUGGGGGAAACCCUGAUGCAGCGACGCCGUGUGAGGGAAGAAGGCUUUCGGGUCGUAAACCUCUGUCGGGAGGGAAGAACCUUCCAGGUCUGAAUAAGCCCUGGAACUGACGGUACCUCCAAAGGAAGCACCGGCUAACUCCGUGCCAGCAGCCGCGGUAAUACGGAGGGUGCAAGCGUUAAUCGGAAUCACUGGGCGUAAAGCGCGCGUAGGCCGCCUUCUAAGUCGGACGUGAAAGCCCUCGGCUCAACCGAGGAACUGCGUUCGAAACUGGGAGGCUUGAGUCCUGGAGAGGGUGGCGGAAUUCCGGGUGUAGGAG